rnacentral:rRNA from 1 species
AUUGAACGCUGGCGGCAGGUCUAACACAUGCAAGUCGAGCGAGCGGCGGACGGGUGAGUAAUGUCUGGGAAACUGCCUGAUGGAGGGGGAUAACUACUGGAAACGGUAGCUAAUACCGCAUACCAUCAGAUGUGCCCAGAUGGGAUUAGCUAGUAGGUGGGGUAACGGCUCACCUAGGCGACGAUCCCUAGCUGGUCUGAGAGGAUGAACAGCAACGCUGGAACUGAGACACAGUCCAGACUCCUACGCGAGUCAGCAGUGUGGAAUAAUGCAAAAUAGGCGCGAGCCUGAUGCAGCCAUGCCGCGUGUGUGAAGAAGGCCUUCAGUUUGGAAAGCACUUUCGGCUGGGAGGCGUUACCCGCAGAAGAGGCACCGACUAACUCCGUGCCAGCAGCCGCGGUAAUUC